rnacentral:lncRNA from 1 species
AUCGAAAAGAUCGAUGAUGUUUUCAACCCUAUUAGGGUUCUUCGGUGCCUCUAUCUUCACGAUCUACGUUUGUUCCUUCUGUACUGAACGGUUCAAUCGUUUAUUGUGAAGGUUUCGGAGAUUUUGCGGUGAGUUUCAACCUCUAGGGUUUUCUAGUGGUCAAAUCGAGUGUUUGGUUGCCAUCCGAUGGUUUGAUACUCAUUUUGCUGUGGUUUUGGUUAUCAUCCGUGGUGUUAUGACAACAUUGUCGGCGUUUGUGGUAAAGUUUUGACGGUUAUUCCUAGGGCUUACACCUAGGGUUUUGCCUAUUGUUAAAGGUCGAACUUCUCCGGUUGCGAAGAAGGACGGUAAC